AAGACCUUGCGCUUUUGGAGCGGCCGAUGCCUGAUUAGCUUGUUGGUAAGGUAAAAGCUUACCAAGGCUUCGAUCAGUAGUUGGUCUGAGAGGACGACCAGCCACACUGGGACUGAGACACGGCCCAGACUCCUACGGGAGGCAGCAGUGGGGAAUUUUGGACAAUGGGGGCAACCCUGAUCCAGCCAUGCCGCGUGAGUGAAGAAGGCCUUCGGGUUGUAAAGCUCUUUCAGCCGGAACGAAACGGUUACGGUUAAUACCCGUGACUACUGACGGUACCGGAAGAAGAAGCACCGGCUAACUACGUGCCAGCAGCCGCGGUAAUACGUAGGGUGCGAGCGUUAAUCGGAAUUACUGGGCGUAAAGGGUGCGCAGGCGGUUUUGUAAGUCAGAUGUGAAAUCCCCGGGCUUAACCUGGGAACU
rnacentral:rRNA from 1 species